rnacentral:rRNA from 1 species
AUUGAACGCUGGCGGCAUGCCUUACACAUGCAAGUCGAACGGUAACAGGUCUUCGGAUGCUGACGAGUGGCGAACGGGUGAGUAAUACAUCGGAACGUGCCCGAUCGUGGGGGAUAACGGAGCGAAAGCUUUGCUAAUACCGCAUACGAUCUACGGAUGAAAGCAGGGGACCGCAAGGCCUUGCGCGAACGGAGCGGCCGAUGGCCGAUUAGGUAGUUGGUGGGAUAAAAGCUUACCAAGCCGACGAUCUGUAGCUGGUCUGAGAGGACGACCAGCCACGCUGGGACUGAGACACGGCCCAGACUCCUACGGGAGGCAGCAGUGGGGAAUUUUGGACAAUGGGCACAAGCCUGAUCCAGCAAUGCCGCGUGCAGGAUGAAGGCCUUCGGGUUGUAAACUGCUUUUGUACGGAACGAAAAGGCUCUGGUUAAUACCUGGGGCUCAUGACGGUACCGUAAGAAUAAGCACCGGCUAACUACGUGCCAGCAGCCGCAGUAAUAC